GAUGACACCUUCGUUGGAGCUGGUGCAACCGGCAGCUCCAUCAGUUCCUGCAAGGCUGAUGCAGCAGUCAGAAAUAGUGCUGCCACCACCAUUGUUGGAACCAGAGCCAAAGCUACCUACAUUAACAUCAGAGCCAGCAUUAUUGGGCUUAAAUUGGCUCGCCAAUCAUUCCAAGAGCUCGCAUGUUGUUGGCACAACAAAUAAUAAGCCCCUGCAAAGAUCCAGUGGCCUUGAACAGCAAUUGUGUGUGCAACAAUUGAGGAGAGGCAAGCUGGUAGGGAGCAGGAGAGAUGCAACACUGGAGAAGCUAGUGUUGUUACACGGCUGAGUGGAAAGCAAUCAGCCGGACCACAUAUGAAGGCCUUGACAGAUAAGAGCAAUGUUCGACAUGAGAAGUUGGCACUGGAAGGAGAACCACCCUUGGAGGCAAUGCAGAAGGUGGCUGUGGACGUGGGCUUGUCACUUCGCCCUGUGCUGGAGCAACAGUUAUCUCUCAAGGAAGAACCGCCAGUGCAUGACGAGGGAAGCUUGGACCAAUCCAGUGUUUAUCUCAAAGAAGACAGCAGGAACAACAAGAGCUGGUAUUUGUGGUAGAAGGGCUGCCAAAGAGGAAGCAGUGGUUGGCCAGGAAGAGACAGUCACCUCCAUCAGCAACUGACAGAAAGUGUGCACUGCAUGGCGAGGACCAGCAAUUGAUGACACCAAAGCUGAAGCAGGCAGGCCAUGAGCAGGAACAGCCACGAGACAGCCAGAAGCGUCUGGUUGAAGGGCAGGAUCACGCACCCACGAGCAAGAAGCCCUGGCUCGGCAAGUGCCAGCUGCGUGAGCUCUUCUCAUCCAGCUGAGAAGAGGACGAAGCUUCGGCAGAAGAGGAAAGUGCAUACACCGCA